AGUCCUGCAAUCACAAUAAGGGGGCUCCAAACACAGUUCCACACACAGGAAUUCCCAUCAUCACUUCUAGUCCUACAAUUUAAGUGCGUGAAUAACCAGUUGGAAGUUGGUGCACAUGGUGAUAUUUUAAGGUCAAGUUUCUUUUUGUGCAUGAUGGUAAGAUCUAGUCAUAGUUAAAUAUAAUUAAUAUUGGCAGGUUAAGGUAUAUGGAAAAAUUGGGUAACAGUACAAUGCUGGUUUUGCUCUUCUUCCAGGAAAAGUUAUCUAAUAUAAGGAAUAAGGUGAAAAUGUUGUCACCAAACAAAGAGAGGGAAAGUUUGGAAAACUAGCACAUUUACGACUAAAAACUUCAUAUGAAGAAGAUAUAAAGUAGAAGUGUUUAAAAUUGCCCAAGUGAGAGCAAGCAUGUCACAAAAUAUAUCAAGGCAAACUGGAUGCUAUAACAGCAUGCUUCGGAAGUUCUCAUUUUUUUUUUUUUGGCUGAAUAUAUGGGCACCCUCGUAAUUGCCAGUUUUUCAGUUUGACAACCAAAUCAAGAUUAGUACUUAUUGAACACCUAAAACGAAUACAUAUUGUGUCAAUUAGACACAUAUUUUGCUGCUCCAAACAAACUGAAGUGUGUAUAUCACUCGUUGCCGACAUGGAAAGUAAGACCAGUAAGAAAAAAAGACAUCGAGAGAGAAAAACAAGAGUCAAAAGAAAAAGAAAACAGUGAAGGAAAUCAACAGAUCCCUAAUUAGGGGCACCCAAAUGCAUUGUGUCACUAUUGUAGUCCCAGACUGGAAAGGUGCUCUAAUAUUCCUGUCCACUUGUCAUCGUCCCCAAAAAUCACAAUACCACCUUCACCACAGCUUACAAUUGCUCUCUGUCGACGACUAUAAGCCUUAGGCCUAGAUAUUCUAUCUUUUUUCUCCGGCAUUGUUACAAAAUUUUGAGAAUCUUACGGGUUAUUGAGGGGGUUAUUGGAGAUAAGAACUAGCGUGGGUUUCUAUGAACGUGAACUUUGACGGUGAAGGUGUGGGCUUUCAUUUGGGUUUUAGUUUUGACUAGGGCUUCGCGGUAAUGGUGAUGCCACAAAGUGGAGGAGAGUAAUAGAGGUACUUUCCACGGUGGUGGAGUUAUGGUGGCGGUGGGUUGGAGGUGGUUUGCAGAGGCUAUGAUGGUAAGUUUCCACGGUGGUGGAGUAAUGGUGGCAGUGGAUUGCAGGUGGUUUGCAGAGGCUAUGAUGGUCAAUAAACGUGGCAGAAAAUAAGUGGAUUGAAGAAGAAAUAAAAAAAAAGAAUUUUCACACGCUCAGAAGUGGUAUCACGUUGUGCCAUGUAAGAAGUGUGUGUCUAAUUGACACAAUUUGUCUUCACUUCAAGUGCUCAAUAGGUACUGCACUUGGUUUAUGCGUCAAAUUGAAAAACAAAAAAAAAAAGGAAGGAGAAAAGAAAAGAGUUUAAGGGGUCACCUAUGUAUUCAGCUUUUCUUUGGUAUGCAUCCAAAGUUAUUUAUUCAUCCUACAUGAACAAAUUAAAUAGUGAUUAGAAACUGAAUAAAAUGUGGAAAUUUGAAUGAACUUACAACAAUCAAGCCUCAAGAGUGCCAUAAAAUGCAGUCGUUCAUGUAAUAUGGAAAUUCGAAAAGAAACCCAAGAACUAGCAAACUUUGAGAAGAAUAAUAACUAUAUGACAAGAGCUGGAAGAAGCUUGAGAUCAAUUGAGGUCCAUUGGAGCUAUGUUGCUUGGAUCCUUCAAAAUACUUGCUGCAUCCAUGUUUGAUUUGGUUGUGGUUAUAGGUGUGGGGUCGGUGUAGGUGUGGGAUCUACAUUGAAUUUGAUCAACUUACCUAAGGUGUUUUGACUAAGGGUGUGUUCAGCAUGGGGAAAUUGUUUUCCUAUUUUCUUGUGUUCGGUUGUUGGUUAAAAAUUUUGGAAGACAUUUCUUAAGGAAAACAAGCUCAUCAAAAAUAAGGAAAAUGACUUCCUUAGUGAAAGUAAAAAAAACAAGUGGCAUUGCGUCUGGCCCGCCCUCUACCUUACACCACUUAUAUACCAGACUUAGUUCACAUGGGGCAGGACUCAAACCUCUGACCUUGGUCACAAGUCCCUCGGCUUUUCCCGUUUGUACUAAGCCCCGGAGGCCAUUCUUUUCCUUAUUUACUUUUUUAAACAUUUUGGUAAGUGAAAGAAAUCAUCAUUCCAUUUCUUUCUUUUCCAAAUUCUAACUAAAAAAUGACUGGAUUUGUUCCGGAUAACUCACAAUUUUCAUAAAAAUUUGUUAUGCGCCUCUACAUCCAGAUUUUUUUGUGAUAAAGUACUACAUCCAGGAUAUAUAAUUUAUAUCCUUGCUCUAUACUAUCCUCUCUUGUUAUCUUUUGUUUUUUUGAAUUUUUUAAAGACAAUCAGACAACCUUUCUACCAUGGAUCUACCACCCGAUAUCGAUAUGAUCACUAGUGUAAGAGAAAUGCCAUGUUCUCUAGAUUAUAUGGACAAGAUUAACUAUUCAGAAUGACUCGCCCUUAAUCAUCACAGCCUAUGACAUAUCUAAUCAAUGAAGCUCCGUGUACGUCAAAGAUUUGCUACUCUGUAGUCUGUAAGUUACACUAAAGUUUUAUAACGGAGGUCCAAAAGAGAAAUUAAAUCACCCUCAGAUCCUCCAUUCAGGAAUUAUGACUAUUCUCCGACCAAUCAUACUGUAUCCCAUUUGAUGUAGUCAUAUCUAGUUCUUUACGAGAGAAGAGAGAAAUGGUCUAAGAAUGUAGAGAUAAAGAUCACUUUUUGAUUAUAUGAAUUUUUAUAAGAAUAAAAGAGGUCUUAGCUCUUUCUUGAUUUACAGUAGUAUUCAAGCAGUAACAGAUUGUAAAUCAAGGUGGUUUUCUAUGAGCAAAUUCAGGAAAGCUGGAAUAGAGCAAAAGGGAAAGCAAGACAGCCUGCACUAUAUGGAAGGAAGUACAAAUUAUAGUAAAUAAGCCAAAUAAGGAGAAUAUUUUCUAUUAUGUACUGCAAUUAUUAUGGGUGACAGGAUGGCAAGAGAGUUGGCGGAAUGAUAAUUGUCUUUUCUUUUCUUUCUCCCCCAAACGAUCAAAUACAAGAAGUUAAAUGCAUCAGAAGCAAAUAACCUCAUAUUACACAAACUGUAUAUGUUAUAUCUUACUCCCUCCUAUUAUUGAAGUACAACAAACCAUCUAAGCAUGUGGCAGAACGGUGAUUCCUUCACCCUUAACAAUUCAAGCCCGGGGAGUGGAGUGUUCUUCAGUAGGGAGCACUAAAACCCAUAGGGAGCUUAAUAAGGCACAAAUCCGGAUUAAUAGGCCAUUGAGUUCUGAACAUCAAGUGCUAGAAGCAUAACUAAAUAAGGAGAUUCAACACCACUGGUACACGGGUAGUUCGAAAGUAACUUGGCAUUUAUUUUUAUUUUUUUGUUUUUAUCAAAAAAUAACUUGGCACUUUAAACAUCAAGUUGAGCACAUACCCAUAAAGCAAAUAUUAGACCCUUUUUAAUUAAUUAUUAGAAUAAAGCUUCCAAUUUUAGAUUAUGUAUACAAAAAAAUUGCACAUGACCCAACUAUCAAAGCCCAAAAUUUCCUCUACCCAUGUCUCUCAAGUAUUCUAUUCAUGCUUUCUCAUCUAUGUGGAUCAACCUGAUAUUUUUAAUACCACGAUGGUUGCUAGAUAUAAUCUCUCCCACAAAUUAUAUGUCUCAUAUCCUUUUAAUUGUGUUCUACUCCAAGGUCCACUUGAAAAGGAAAUUGUGGAACAUAAUAUUUCAUGAAAAUUAAACAUAAUCCAUCUUUACUUAUCUGAGCAUCAACUUUUCCCCGUCCUUCAACAACCAUGUAAAACAAAACCAUGAAUUGAAUACAAAACAUGAAAAGAACUUUGGGGUCAUUCGAUUGUUGGUUAAGAGUUAUCCAGGUAAAAGUAAUGCAGGGACUAGUUAUGCAUGAAUCAAUUAUGUAGGGUUUAGUUAUUCAUGUAUCAGUUAUUCUAUCUUUUUCUUUAAUAAGGCACCAUAUUCAAUCCAAAAACAUCAGAUACUUGAAGGUGCCAAUGGGGUACAUUACAAGCAAAAUUCCCCAAAACAGUGUAGGAGCGGACUUGGAGUAGUAGGUGUUACCCGGAAAUCCAGUAACUUUCGUAUGGUUCUUGUAUUUAUAUUGAAAAAUCUAGUAAAUAUAUAAGAAUUAUAAGUUGAGAACCUAUAAGUGUGUUGUUCAUUUAGUGGUAAAGAAGGAGCUCACUAAAGCUUUGUAGGCCUCUUGGUUGUGGGUUCUAGCGUAGUUACCCACUAUAUAUUUGAUUUUUAUUUUGUCCAAGGAACCCACAAACUUUAAAUUCUAAAUCUGCCUCAGAAACAGUGUUCAGGGACUGUUGUUAACUAACAAUUUACUCAUUGCCUAGAAAAUCUACCAUAUCUACUGCUUUCCCCUGCUAUAUCCUGUUUAUACCAAAAAUAGAAGAGAUUAAGAUAAUUCAUUUUCAUUUUCUAACUGGAGUAGCUCUAUCUUAACACUGUCCUGAGAGAAUUCCAAAUUGUCCAUAGAUGCAAGCUGGAAUGGACUCACACCAAUCCUCAUCUGUUUCUCUUCUUCCAAUUUCUUUCCUGUUACAAAAAAGUUCUAGAGUUGAUCUAGGUAACACCCAAGUCACCCUAGGAUACAAAACAACAUGUGCCACAAAUUUGCGGUUGUUUGACAAUGUGGAAAUAGAUGUUUAUUGCUUUCUGCAUCUUUCUCACAAAAGAGACAUUCUUGAGCAUAUAUGUAGAGCCUUCUUUGUAAAGCCUCUUGCACUAAGCAAGACUUCCUCGAAAACCAGUCAAACAAAAGCAGAAGCCUUAGAUGGAAUUUUAAUUUUCUAAUUAAGUUUCCAAGGUCAGGCCUCAGAUUAUUUGAUCUUGUUUUUCUCCCAGUGAACUGAUAUAACAGUGAAGAUCCCUUUAUUGCAUAACUCCCACACUGGCUUAUCUGGUUCAUUAGUGGACCAUAUGAGAAACUCAACACCUGGAACAAAUCUGUCAUUCUCCCUCUUUCCCAAUCAUUUAGAGCCUUUCCAACAACAGGUUCCACCUUGCUCUGUCCACACUUGAGAUAUUUUAUCAUUCUUUUGAAGACUGAGACAGUAGAAAUCCUGGAAUAGGAUUCUAAGAUUACUUGGCCCAAUCCAGUGAUCUUCUCAAGAAAAGGUUUUCACCCCAUCACCCACCUUUAUGCUCAAAUCUUCACUAAAUUCAUUCCACAUAUUUCUAUUUGUUCUCCAUACAUCACAUCCCUAUGUAGUCUUUACUUCAUUUGUUGUCCAAUGAUUUAUCAAACCAUUCUUCUGUGAUAUGUGUUUCUUCCAGAGAGACCUAUCUUCAUUCCAGAACCUCCAAAUCCAUUUCUGGAGAAGACGUUGGUUGUGAAGUCUGAGGUUUUUAAUCCCCAUACCUCCUUGUUCCUAGCUAAGUGUUAAAAUGUCCGACUUGACUAGAUUAUAACCUUUCUAGUCUUUGUUACCUUGCCACAAGAAGUUCCUCCUUGUUUUGUUGAUCUUCUUCACAACAUCCUUGGGCAUGGGAAACAGAGACAUCAUGUAAGUAGGUAGAGCAUCCGGGAUUGAAUUUAUCCGUAGCAACAUUCCACUAAGGAAUAAAUAUUGGCUCUUCCAUCUUGACAGCAGCUUACACAUCUUUCAAACACUUCAUUACAUAUCUCCUUUUCUUUGUGUUUGGCACACAAAGGCAUUCCCAAAUUGUACACUGAUACCCAAUCUAACAGCCUAAAUUACUUGCGAAUUGUACAUCGUAAGCUGGGAAGCUGAUUAACAGGAUAUUACACCAAUGCCUCUCUACUUCUUUGUAGGUAGUGGUAUGAUCUGCGUACACUCUACCCUCCCCAGACCCCACUGGGUGGGAAUUCACUGAGUAUGUUGUUUUUGUUGUUGUACACCGACGUUGUAUGGGGCAGAGUGUUGGUCAGUUAAGAACUCUCACAUUCAGAAGAUACAUGUUGUGGAAAUGAGGAUAUGAAGGGGGAUGUGCGGGCACAUACAGGAGCGAUGAGAUUAGGAAUGAAGAUAUUCGGGAUAAGUUGGGAGUGGCCGCUGUGGUGGACAAGAUGAGGAAGCGAUAUUGAGAUGAUUUAGACAUGUCAAGAGGGGAUGCGCAAAUGCCCUAGUGAGGAGGUGUGAGAGGUUGGAUAUAGUAGGUACGAAGAGAAGUAGAGGUAGAUCGAAGAAGUAUUGGGGAGAGGUGAUUAGACAACACAUGGCGCAGGUUCAGGUUACUGAGGAUAUGACCUUAGAUGGGAGGGUGUGGAGGACGCGUGUAGGGGUAGAAGGUUAGUAGGCAGUGGAGUGUUGUUUUGCUCUUUUUUUAGAGUUUAGGAUUGUUGGUGUUUGUCGUGUACUACUCGUGUUAUUGUAGUUCUUGCUUUUGAUAUCUGUCAUCUAUUAUCUAUUGUGUUUCAACCACUAUUUUGUUGUUAAUGAUCCUUUCUUGUAGGCUUCACAUUGUUUCCCUGGUUAGUUGUUAUGUUUAUUUCAUUGUUUUCUUCUUCUUUGUACUUGGAUUUGCUACACUUGAGCCGAGGAUCUUUCGAAAACAGUCUCUACCUCCACAAGGACCUUCCCUAGACCCCACAGUUACCAUGGAGCCCUUAAAUGGCUUCAAAAAUAGUCAAUAUAGCCCUUAAAUGUCUAAUUUGUUCAACUUCAGACCCACAAAACACUAAUGAAUUAUCGGCAUAAAGUAGAUGUGUGAUCUCCAUUCAUUCAUUUCUGUUGAUCUUGACAGCAGCUUACACAUCUUUCAAACACUUCAUUACAUAUCUCCUUUUCUUUGUGUUUGGCACACAAAGGCAUUCCCAAAUUGUACACUGAUACCCAAUCUAACAGCCUAAAUUACUUGCGAAUUGUACAUCGUAAGCUGGGAAGCUGAUUAACAGGAUAUUACACCAAUGCCUCUCUACUUCUUUGUAGGUAGUGGUAUGAUCUGCGUACACUCUACCCUCCCCAGACCCCACUGGGUGGGAAUUCACUGAGUAUGUUGUUUUUGUUGUUGUACACCGACGUUGUAUGGGGCAGAGUGUUGGUCAGUUAAGAACUCUCACAUUCAGAAGAUACAUGUUGUGGAAAUGAGGAUAUGAAGGGGGAUGUGCGGGCACAUACAGGAGCGAUGAGAUUAGGAAUGAAGAUAUUCGGGAUAAGUUGGGAGUGGCCGCUGUGGUGGACAAGAUGAGGAAGCGAUAUUGAGAUGAUUUAGACAUGUCAAGAGGGGAUGCGCAAAUGCCCUAGUGAGGAGGUGUGAGAGGUUGGAUAUAGUAGGUACGAAGAGAAGUAGAGGUAGAUCGAAGAAGUAUUGGGGAGAGGUGAUUAGACAACACAUGGCGCAGGUUCAGGUUACUGAGGAUAUGACCUUAGAUGGGAGGGUGUGGAGGACGCGUGUAGGGGUAGAAGGUUAGUAGGCAGUGGAGUGUUGUUUUGCUCUUUUUUUAGAGUUUAGGAUUGUUGGUGUUUGUCGUGUACUACUCGUGUUAUUGUAGUUCUUGCUUUUGAUAUCUGUCAUCUAUUAUCUAUUGUGUUUCAACCACUAUUUUGUUGUUAAUGAUCCUUUCUUGUAGGCUUCACAUUGUUUCCCUGGUUAGUUGUUAUGUUUAUUUCAUUGUUUUCUUCUUCUUUGUACUUGGAUUUGCUACACUUGAGCCGAGGAUCUUUCGAAAACAGUCUCUACCUCCACAAGGACCUUCCCUAGACCCCACAGUUACCAUGGAGCCCUUAAAUGGCUUCAAAAAUAGUCAAUAUAGCCCUUAAAUGUCUAAUUUGUUCAACUUCAGACCCACAAAACACUAAUGAAUUAUCGGCAUAAAGUAGAUGUGUGAUCUCCAUUCAUUCAUUUCUGUUGGUUUGAGUCCCAAAACCCUUGAUCCAUCCAUUUGUUUUUGGUUUUCUAAUAAUAUGAUUUAGCCUCUCCAUAGCUAAGAGAUAUAGAAAAGGUGAAAGGAGAUCCAGAGUCUUCUACUUCCAUUUAUUAGCACAGGAAACUUCACACUGGAAAUACAACAUUUUAUCCCAUUAAUCCAUUUUUCAAAAACUCAUGUUCCUCAGUAUGUCAAUAAGGUAUGUGCAAUUGACAUGAUCAUAGGCCAUUCCCAUAUCAAGUUGGUAUAAAAUUCUAGGCUUGUUCUGUUUCACUCUAGAGUCCACCAACUCAUUAGCAAGUAAAACUGCAUCCAUAAUUUAUCUACCCUGCAGAAAUGUCAUUUGAUGCCCAUCUACUAGUUUCACCACGGCAGUUUUCGUUCUUUCUAUCAUUAGCUCGGACAUGAUCUUUUAAAUUCCCCUAUUAAGCUUAUAGGUGUGAAAUCUUUUAAUUCUUCAGCUCCAAACUUCUAAGGGAUUAAAGCAAUGAAGGUAGCAUAAAAAAACUUCUCAAACAUCUCUGAUAAAAGUUUCCAAUGUUUUGCAUAAUAUCCCCUUUUAAAGUCUUCCAACAGCUUUUAAAGAAACCCAUAGUAAAGCCAUCAGGCCCUUGUGCCAUGUCCACUGCACAUUGGUUGACAACUUGCAGUACUUUCAGUUCAGUUUCUGCAAAUUCUUCGAAUCCAAUCUUGUUCUUCCCGUGUUAUCUUUGGACAGUCAUUGUAUUCGAAAAUUGGCUUCCAUUCCUCUGAUUAUACAUAUAACUUCUUGAUGUGAUGACCCAUUUACAUAUAUUUAAUCACUACAUGCCUCACAUUUUAGUACUUUUAAUUGUCUUUUGAGAACAUACUAUACUAUUUUGUGUUUGAUAUGUAUAUUUUUAAUGUGUAGGAAUAAAAAGUGUGAAGAUGAAGAGAUUCAGAGCAAAAUGAAUUAAAACGAGAAGAUAAAAAAUGGAAUUAAAGAGGGGAGACGAAGGGCACAUAAUCAUGAGCCCUUGUCCUCGACUCCCCGCAAGUGAUGACAAGAGCAAAUUAAAACUAAUAGUUGGAAGAAGCAGCAGCGAAUUGCACUGGAAAGUGACCGUAAGGCUGCGCGUCCCGCAUCGCUGGA
rnacentral:lncRNA from 1 species